UGAUCCAGCAGUGGGGAAUUUUGGACAAUGGGGGCAACCCUGAUGCAGCAAUGCCGCGUGUGUGAAGAAGGCCUUCGGGUUGUAAAGCACUUUUGUCCGGAAAGAAAUCCUGUGGGUUAAUACCCUGGGGGGAUGACGGUACCGGAAGAAUAAGCACCGGCUAACUACGUGCCAGCAGCCGCGGUAAUACGUAGGGUGCAAGCGUUAAUCCGAAUUAGUG
rnacentral:rRNA from 1 species